CCGAUACUGUGAUGAUAACAUAGUUCAGCAGACGUGACUCUGGUGAACAAUCAUGUCUUUCGCUCCUAUCUGAUGUAUCUG
ensembl:snoRNA LOC120096386 small nucleolar RNA snR60/Z15/Z230/Z193/J17